rnacentral:rRNA from 1 species
UACGUAGGUGGCAAGCGUUGUCCGGAAUUAUUGGGCGUAAAGCGCGCGCAGGCGGUUUCUUAAGUCUGAUGUGAAAGCCCCCGGCUCAACCGGGGAGGGUCAUUGGAAACUGGGAAACUUGAGUGCAGAAGAGGAAAGUGGAAUUCCAAAUGUAGCGGUGAAAUGCGUAGAGAUUUGGAGGAACACCAGUGGCGAAGGCGACUUUCUGGUCUGUAACUGACGCUGAGGCGCGAAAGCGUGGGGAGCAAACAGG